rnacentral:tRNA from 1 species
GCGCGCAUAGCUCAGUCGGUUAGAGCGUUCGAUUCACAUUCGAAAGGUCCCAGGUUCGAAUCCUGGUGCGCGCA